UUUCUAAGGAAAAAGGGAAGCUAGUUCAUUAGUAAAUGAUUAUUUAGUUUUGAGUGUUUAUUACACUCUUGUACAUUGAAAAUUGAAUAACAAACACAAUGGUUAUUAAAAAUAACUAAGAGCCAGACAUAGAAAAGAUGUUAAAAUAGCUAUAUAAAUAGCUAAAGAAGUUUGGAAGAGAUAAAAAGAUUUGAACAAUAUAUCAAGUUACGAAGAAGUAAUAAUAAAA
rnacentral:misc_RNA from 1 species